ensembl:lncRNA
ACAUCUAAAACCUGCAGGACACCAGCCCUUGAGGUCUGAAGUUAGACACCCCUGGUCUAGAUUAUCCUUAAUCCUGACAUAGGCUUGUGUCUGCUCUGCUGUACCUCAAGAUAUACCACCAGGUGUCAUGGUAGUAUCCAUACUACAUUAAGCCUGAUUUAAGAUGGUGGCUGUCCAGAUACAAUGCAAGCAAGAGUCUAUGAUAUACAUGCUGACAUACAGGAGAAUCAAAUACUCUAGUUUAUAACAGAGGAGAGGAGUCACAGGCCUGUGAUCAUCUGAGUGUCAAGAGAGGAACUGUAGUACUGGAUGAGGAAGUCAGAAGUAUGUGAGGGUGGUGCAGGAGAUGUAAGAGAACAGCAAACCAGUGAUAAGGUGUGCAGUAGGAGUGACAGAUGAGUCCAAGGUCUAUGUGGACUUUGGUGUUCAGGUGCAUGAGGGUCGAUGAGUUUAAAUACCUCGAGUCAACCAAAGCACUGGACAGUACAUGAGUGGUGAAGUGACUGUAGACAGGCUGGAGUGGGUGGAGACGAGUGUCAAGCAUGAUUUGUGUCGGGUAAAAAUACAAGUUGGUAGUGAGAUAGUUCAUUGGUGGCACUGAUAAAAAGCCAGGCGACUGAGAUAAUUGUAGCAAAGCUAAAGAAUUUUCAUGGGGACUGAACAGGAUGAACAAGAUUAGAACAUAAAAAACAAAUUACGCAAGGUAUGAGUUUGAGAUGCUUUGGAUGAGGUAUGCUGGAUACACUGGACAACGGAUUUUGAAUAUGGAGCUGCCAGG